UUGAACGCUGGCGGCAGGCCUAACACAUGCAAGUCGAGCGGUAGCACAGAGAGCUUGCUCUCGGGUGACGAGCGGCGGACGGGUGAGUAAUGUCUGGGAAACUGCCUGAUGGAGGGGGAUAACUACUGGAAACGGUAGCUAAUACCGCAUAACGUCGCAAGACCAAAGUGGGGGACCUUCGGGCCUCAUGCCAUCAGAUGUGCCCAGAUGGGAUUAGCUAGUAGGUGGGGUAACGGCUCACCUAGGCGACGAUCCCUAGCUGGUCUGAGAGGAUGACCAGCCACACUGGAACUGAGACACGGUCCAGACUCCUACGGGAGGCAGCAGUGGGGAAUAUUGCACAAUGGGCGCAAGCCUGAUGCAGCCAUGCCGCGUGUGUGAAGAAGGCCUUCGGGUUGUAAAGCACUUUCAGCGGGGAGGAAGGCGAUAAGGUUAAUAACCUUGUCGAUUGACGUUACCCGCAGAAGAAGCACCGGCUAACUCCGUGCCAGCAGCCGCGGUAAUACGGAGGGUGCAAGCGUUAAUCGGAAUUACUGGGCGUAAAGCGCACGCAGGCGGUCUGUCAAGUCGGAUGUGAAAUCCCCGGGCUCAACCUGGGAACUGCAUUCGAAACUGGCAGGCUAGAGUCUUGUAGAGGGGGGUAGAAUUCCAGGUGUAGCGGUGAAAUGCGUAGAGAUCUGGAGGAAUACCGGUGGCGAAGGCGGCCCCCUGGACAAAGACUGACGCUCAGGUGCGAAAGCGUGGGGAGCAAACAGGAUUAGAUACCCUGGUAGUCCACGCCGUAAACGAUGUCGAUUUGGAGGUUGUGCCCUUGAGGCGUGGCUUCCGGAGCUAACGCGUUAAAUCGACCGCCUGGGGAGUACGGCCGCAAGGUUAAAACUCAAAUGAAUUGACGGGGGCCCGCACAAGCGGUGGAGCAUGUGGUUUAAUUCGAUGCAACGCGAAGAACCUUACCUGGUCUUGACAUCCACAGAACUUUCCAGAGAUGGAUUGGUGCCUUCGGGAACUGUGAGACAGGUGCUGCAUGGCUGUCGUCAGCUCGUGUUGUGAAAUGUUGGGUUAAGUCCCGCAACGAGCGCAACCCUUAUCCUUUGUUGCCAGCGGUCCGGCCGGGAACUCAAAGGAGACUGCCAGUGAUAAACUGGAGGAAGGUGAGGAUGACGUCAAGUCAUCAUGGCCCUUACGACCAGGGCUACACACGUGCUACAAUGGCAUAUACAAAGAGAAGCGACCUCGCGAGAGCAAGCGGACCUCAUAAAGUAUGUCGUAGUCCGGAUUGGAGUCUGCAACUCGACUCCAUGAAGUCGGAAUCGCUAGUAAUCGUAGAUCAGAAUGCUACGGUGAAUACGUUCCCGGGCCUUGUACACACCGCCCGUCACACCAUGGGAGUGGGUUGCAAAAGAAGUAGGUAGCUUAACCUUCGGGAGGGCGCUUACCACUUUGUGAUUCAUGACUGGGGUG
rnacentral:rRNA from 1 species